ACUCCUGCGGGAGGCAGCAGUGGGGAAUAUUGGACAAUGGGCGCAAGCCUGAUCCAGCCAUGCCGCGUGAGUGAUGAAGGCCCUAGGGUUGUAAAGCUCUUUCACCGGUGAAGAUAAUGACGGUAACCGGAGAAGAAGCCCCGGCUAACUUCGUGCCAGCAGCCGCGGUAAUACGAAGGGGGCUAGCGUUGUUCGGAUUUACUGGGCGUAAAGCGCACGUAGGCGGACUAUUAAGUCAGGGGUGAAAUCCCGGGGCUCAACCCCGGAACUGCCUUUGAUACUGGUAGUCUUGAGUUCGAGAGAGGUGAGUGGAAUUCCGAGUGUAGAGGUGAAAUUCGUAGAUAUUCGGAGGAACACCAGUGGCGAAGGCGGCUCACUGGCUCGAUACUGACGCUGAGGUGCGAAAGCGUGGGGAGCAAACAGGAUUAGAAACCCCGGUAGUCCC
rnacentral:rRNA from 1 species